ensembl:lncRNA
UUUAAAUUGAAAGAAUAUGCCUUUAAUAAAACUCUGCCUCUUCUUAUUAAAUGAAAUGUUGAAAAUACAGUCUUUAGACUGUUGGAAGCUCCAGUGAUGUUUUCUUCAGUGGAUUUGGUCUUUAAUGUCACCACAUGUUUCUUUUGUGCUUUAUUUUAGUUAAAUAUGGUGUUUGUGACAGUGAUACAGUUUAAAUGUCGGCACGAGUCACUUGCAUGUGUCUCGCAUUUGGUCUUGCCAAGUCCUUGCCAACCACACUUGUUUGGUUUUUCAUUGUUAAUUCUAUUCUUUUGUCUGAUUGUGCAAACAAAGGCAAGAGAGGCAUUACAAGCAUCUUCCAUAUACAUAAAUAAGCCAUCUAACCAUGAACCACUGGAGCGCCCAACCUCUCCUAUAGAGGACGAACAAGAGGAGAAAGCUGAUGAGAUUCCCUGGGAGGAACGCUAUGAGAAAAUCUGGGUGGAUAAUGAAAAAAAGGAGACCAAGUCCCAAUAUAAAAACGUGGCUGCUGAACUAAAAGAGAGGUUUGGAGAACUGGAGCACAAGGAACCACCAAGUAGGCUUUCGGAGCAGGUGUGGAAAGAAGAUGAACAAUAUGAUGAGGUGGAAAAGGAAGCAGAUGAUGAAGAUUCCAGUGAGGAAGAUGGAGAGCUAAUAGUGCGACCCACCGCCCGGGCAAGAAGUGCCAUACUGUUGCCCAUCCCAGAGCAGAGAGAGUCAGGCCUGGAGGACUCACAGUCUGAAAGUGUCCACCGCACAAUUAGUGUUGAGGUCAGUGAUGCAGAGCUUCCCAGUGACCACCACAACCCCCAAAUCAUCCCAGAAGUCCUAACAGAUGAAGCCCAGGAGCCAGAGAAACGAGCGGAUGACAUUGAGGAACCUGAUAGUGGAAGCAAAGAAAAGUGUCCACUAGAAUCUGGAAGCAACAUAGAUGAAGAACCUGAACUUCACAGACCUUCAUUGCAUGUUGAGAAUGAGCUACAAAUCCCACAUAAAUUUCUAGAAGCGACCCCUUCUGACCCCGACGAGGUUGGCGAGGGCUUGUGGAAGUCCAGACUUGAGGGUGGUAAGGAACAGGCGGAUGGCAUGAGGGGAGAACACCAGCCCGGUGUUUUAUGGGAUACUAGAGGAACCAGAGAACGAGGUGAACUUGACCAAGGAAAAGGGAAGAAAACUGACACCAACUCUGGGAACCCAAAACCUAAACAGGACGGGAUGGCUGACAGCAGGUCUUUGGGAAGAGAGGGUAGUGUUUCGCCAAGACAUCUGACAAGAAGUCAGAGAAGGUACAUAUGUCAUAUUACUAGAUGGAAUUAAUGUGAAGGGAGAUGUUUUUGUAAUGCAAUCAUGUAGAAGAACUUACUGAAAAAAUUACUGAGGACACCUUGAAGUAAAGAGCUUUCAGCAAACAGCCAUGGCUUAGAGAUCAAAACACGUUUUUACAAAUUUAUUUUCGUUCUAUUUCUAAAGUAUAUGCAUGCAUAAUAAAAAUAUAUAUAAUCAUGGAAUGCA